rnacentral:piRNA from 1 species
UGCCAAAAAUACCUGGUUUGGUAGGGUCUU